AAAGCGAGAAAGGGAGGAGCGCACUCACGGCGAACGCCACCAUGGCGGUGGCGAGGGCGAGGAAGCCGUACUUGGCCAUGCCCUCGGAGAGCCCGACGAAGGUGCUGGCGAUGCCGAACAUGACCCUCCACAGCGCGAUGCAGACGACGACCGCCCCGGCGCCGACGAGCAGCAUGUAGUUGCGCCUCCAGAACGCCUCCACCUGCAGCCCCACGGCCUCCCGGUACCUCGCCGCCGCGUUCUUGGCCGCGUCCAGCGGCCGCCCCAGCCCCAGCCCCUUCACCCCCUGCCCCAGCGGCGCCAGCUUCGACGACCCCCCGCCGCCGACGCCCGCCGCGAACGACCUUGCCCCGCCCACCACGAGCCGCCGCGCAUGCAGCUGUAGUAGCCUCGCGUCGGGGCGCGUGGUGGUGAAGAAGCGGGAGGAGGAGGAGGAGGAGGAGGGAGGAGAGGGGAAGUGGUGGCGGGGGAUGGGGGGAGCGUGGCGGGAGGGGAGGGGGUGGAGGAGGAGGCGGCGGUGGAGGGCGUGGAGGGCCCUCCGGGAGGAGGAGAGGGCGGCCGCCAUGGGAGGGGAUCGAGAUCGGGUUCGCGGCGGCGGAGGAGACGAAGGGGAAGAGGACGGACGACGGUGGUUUUGG
rnacentral:sRNA from 1 species